GAUGAACGCUGGCGGCGUGCCUAAUACAUGCAAGUCGAGCGAACGGACGAGAAGCUUGCUUCUCUGAUGUUAGCGGCGGACGGGUGAGUAACACGUGGAUAACCUACCUAUAAGACUUGGAUAACUUCGUGAAACCGGAGCUAAUACCGGAUAAUAUUUUGAACCGCAUGGUUCAAAAGUGAAAGACGGUCUUGCUGUCUCUUAUAGAUGGAUCCGCGCUGCAUUAGCUAGUUGGUAAGGUAACGGCUUACCAAGGCAACGAUGCAUAGCCGACCUGAGAGGGUGAUCGGCCACACAGGAACUGAGACACGGUCCAGACUCCUACGGGAGGCAGCAGUAGGGAAUCUUCCGCAAUGGGCGAAAGCCUGACGGAGCAACGCCGCGUGAGUGAUGAAGGUCUUCGGAUCGUAAAACUCUGUUAUUAGGGAAGAACAUAUGUGUAAGUAACUGUGCACAUCUUGACGGUACCUAAUCAGAAAGCCACGGCUAACUACGUG
rnacentral:rRNA from 1 species